rnacentral:rRNA from 1 species
CCGAAAAUAUUGGACAAUGGGCGAAAGCCUGAUCCAGCGACGUUGCGUGAGGGAUGAAGACGUUCGCGCCGUAAACCUCUUUUAUAGGGAAAGAAGUCAUUGACGGUACUCUAUGAAUAAGCGGGGGCUAAUUCUGUGCCAGCAGCAGCGGUAAUACAGAACCCGCAAGCGUUAUCCGGAUUUAUUGGGCGUAAAGUGUUCGUAGGCGGUUUGGAAAGUCUGAUAUCAAAUACCCGGGGCUUAACCCUGGGAGCGUAUCGGAAACUUCCAAACUUGAAGAUGCUAGGGGCUAUCGGAACGCACGGUGUAGGGGUGAAAUCCGUUGAUAUCGUGCGGAACACCAAAAGCGAAGGCAGAUAGCUGGGGCAAUCUUGACGCUGAGGAGCGAAAGCGUGGGGAG